CGCCUCUUGAAACUAAAAAUAUAAGAGGUCCCGCCUGCCCUGUGAUAAUAAUUUAACGGCCGCGGUAUUUUGACCGUGCGAAGGUAGCGAAAUCACUUGUCUUUUAAAUGAAGACCUGUAUGAAUGGCAUGACGAGGGCUUGACUGUCUCCUUUUUCAAGUCAAUGAAAUUGAUCUCCCCGUGCAGAAGCGGGGAUUAAAACAUAAGACGAGAAGACCCUAUGGAGCUUCAGACACCAGGGUAGACCAUGUUAAACACCCCUGUAUAAAGAAUUAAACCAAAUGAGACCUACCCUAAUGUCUUUGGUUGGGGCGACCACGGGGAAACAAAAAACCCCCACGUGGAAUGGGAGUACCACUCCUAAAACCAAGAGCUCCUGCUCUAAGGAACAGAAUUUCUGACCAAAAAGAUCCGGCAACGCCGAUCAACGAACCGAGUUACCCUAGGGAUAACAGCGCAAUCCCCUUUCAGAGCCCAUAUCGACAAGGGGGUUUACGACCUCGAUGUUGGAUCAGGACAUCCUAAUGGUGCAGCCGCUAUUAAGGGUUCGUUUGUUCAACGAUUAAAGUCCU
rnacentral:rRNA from 1 species